rnacentral:rRNA from 1 species
GGAUAUGUGACGUGACCGCAUGGUCUGCGUUUGGAAAGAUUUUUCGGUUGGGGAUGUGGCUCGCGGCCUAUCAGCUUGUUGGUGAGGUAAUGGCUCACCAAGGCGUCGACGGGUAGCCGGCCUGAGAGGGUGACCGGCCACACUGGGACUGAGACACGGCCCAGACUCCUACGGGAGGCAGCAGUGGGGAAUAUUGCACAAUGGGCGAAAGCCUGAUGCAGCCACGCCGCGUGAGGGAUGACGGCCUUCGGGUUGUAAACCUCUUUUAGCAGGGAAGAAGCGAAAGUGACGGUACCUGCAGAAAAAGCGCCGGCUAACUACGUGCCAGCAGCCGCGGUAAUACGUAGGGCGCAAGCGUUAUCCGGAAUUAUUGGGCGUAAAGAGCUCGUAGGCGGUUUGUCGCGUCUGCUGUGAAAUCCCGAGGCUCAACCUCGGGCCUGCAGUGGGUACGGGCAGACUAGAGUGCGGUAGGGGAGAUUGGAAUUCCUGGUGUAGCGGUGGAAUGCGCAGAUAUCAGGAGGAACACCGAUGGCGAAGGCAGAUCUCUGGGCCGUAACUGACGCUGAGGAGCGAAAGGGUGGGGAGCAAACAGGCUUARAUACCCUGGUAGUCCACCCCGUAAACGUUGGGWACUAGUUGUGGGGUCCAUUCCACGGAUUCCGUGACGCAGCUAACGCAUUAAGUUCCCCGCCUGGGGAGUACGGCCGCAAGGCUAAAACUCAAAGGAAUUGACGGGGACCCGCACAAGCGGCGGAGCAUGCGGAUUAAUUCGAUGCAACGCGAAGAACCUUACCAAGGCUUGACAUAUACGAGAACGGGCCAGAAAUGGUCAACUCUUUGGACACUCGUAAACAGGUGGUGCAUGGUUGUCGUCAGCUCGUGUCGUGAGAUGUUGGGUUAAGUCCCGCAACGAGCGCAACCCUCGUUCUAUGUUGCCAGCACGUAAUGGUGGGAACUCAUGGGAUACUGCCGGGGUCAACUCGGAGGAAGGUGGGGAUGACGUCAAAUCAUCAUGCCCCUUAUGUCUUGGGCUUCACGCAUGCUACAAUGGCCGGUACAAAGGGCUGCAAUACCGUGAGGUGGAGCGAAUCCCAAAAAGCCGGUCCCAGUUCGGAUUGAGGUCUGCAACUCGGACCUCAUGAGUCGGAGUCGCUAGUAAUCGCAGAUCAGCAACGCUGCGGUGAAUACGUUUCCCGGGUCUUGCACACACCGCCCG